rnacentral:tRNA from 1 species
CGGGAUGUAGCAUAGUCAGGUUAAUGUGCCACGCUGGGGGUGUGGAGACCGGAAGUUCGAAUCUUCUCAUCCCGA